GGGGGCGAUUUGGAUUCGACGGCGGUGACGAAACCCGAGGUGCAUGUCGAGGACGUAGUGGUUCUCGUAAAUCAAAACACUACAAACCUUUAGUUGCCACUAAGCAACAAAUCAACGAUAGCGUUUGGGUAGAAGAGUCAGCUCAGCUGGCUGCCUAAAACCUGAAACUGCUGCCUAAAAACAGCAAUCGUUCGAUCUUCCCGGUUUGUCUGUUGACUGGGUUACUGAUCGUCAAAGCAAACAGACUCGUCGUGAAGCCUGGUCUGGGGACUGAUCGACUAAAACUGUACAGGCUCGUUCUGCUUCACCCCGACCGCUGGGUCGUUGCAGAAUUAAAUCAAAGGCGGAUCUAAGCAUGUAGAGCCAAGGGCGGAGUAUCGGCGGACGCGGGUUCAAUUCCCGCCGCCUCCACCA
rnacentral:tmRNA from 1 species